AAAAAAGCAGGGAGUUAUUAUCAUUAGUGAGUGGCCCCCUCGUAAACAUCAGGGAAAGUAUUUUCAUUGUUUUUGGGUGAGCCUCUGGAAAUGUUAAAAUGAAAGAAGGUUCAGUAAACAAUGACACAUUG